GGACGAACGCUGGCGGCGUGCUUACCCCAUGCAAGUCGAACGGAAAGGCCUGCUUUCCCUUGUGGAUUGCGGGUACUCGAGUGGCGAACGGGUGAGUAACACGUGAGUGAUCUGCCCCCAACUUGGGUAUAAGCCUGGGAAACUGGGUCUAAUUCCCGAUAGGACUGCAGGGUGGUGCCUGUGGUGGAAAACGAUUUUCUAGUGGUUGGGGAUGAGCUCGCGGCCUAUCAGCUUGUUGGUGGGGUAAUGGCCUACCAAGGCGGCGACGGGUAGCCGGCCUGAGAGGGUGGACGGCCACAUUGGGACUGAGAUACGGCCCAGACUCCUACGGGAGGCAGCAGUGGGGAAUAUUGCACAAUGGGCGGAAGCCUGAUGCAGCGACGCCGCGUGGGGGAUGACGGCCUUCGGGUUGUAAACUCCUUUCGACCGCGAGGAAGCCACCUGGUUGGAAGGGUGGUGACGGUAGUGGUAGAAGAAGCACCGGCUAACUACGUG
rnacentral:rRNA from 1 species